rnacentral:misc_RNA from 1 species
UGGUUCUGGCAUCGAUGAAGAACGCAGCGAAAUGCGAUAAGUAAUGUGAAUUGCAGAAUUCAGUGAAUCAUCGAAUCUUUGAACGCACAUUGCGCCCGCCAGUAUUCUGGCGGGCAUGCCUGUCCGAGCGUCAUUUCAACCCUCGAACCCCCCCCGGGGGGAUCGGUGUUGGGGACCGGCCUCCGCCCUCGCUGGCGGUCGCCGCCCCCGAAAUACAGUGGCGGUCUCGCCGCAGCCUCCUCUGCGCAGUAGUUUGCACACUCGCACCGGAGAGCGGCGCGUCCAAGCCGUAAACCACCCAAACUUAUGAAAGGUUGACCUCGGAUCAGGUAGGAAUACCCGCUGA